GGGAGCGUGUGUAUCUGUAUGAGCCGCUGUUCUAGGUCUCUCGUCAUACGUCCAAAGUAAGCAAAGGCUAUCUAGCUAGGUCUAGACCUUCCGAGACUAUUCGCCAUUAAUAAAUAUCAAAUGAUGAGUUAAGUAUAUUAGGGGAAAACAUGAAGCUAUACUGAAGAGAGCAAAUAAAAACUAAGAACUAGUAGAGAAAGUAUCCUCACGGAGUCGCCGUAAUGAUUAACAAAGAUAGUGGGCGAUGUCAGUAUUCAAUUGUUGGGGCCGAGAAGCUUAGAUUUAUCAAAGACUACCUACUGCGGAAGCAGUUGCAAAUCAUGGGGCGUUUUUUUUUUUUUUUUUCAUCGGGAACGAAAGAUAUGAGGUCGAAGGCGACCAGAUAAUAUCGUAGGCUUGACCAUAAACUAUGCCGACAAGGGAUCGGAUAAUGUUAUUUCUUGACCCAUUCACUUUUAUGUCAACUACCUUCAUUAUCCCAACAACGUUAAUCACAUCUUAUUGUUACAGACCCCUCAGACCCUUCGAGCAUUAUUACCCAGACACAAACCCCAUCUUCCAAAGUCUUCAGGAC
rnacentral:ncRNA from 1 species